UUCGCAGGCAACUUCUCAGCAGUAGCCGUUUCUCCCACGGAAGACUAGGCCAAGGACCUCGAUCCGUGGCGAGCAUCGAGGUGCUGUCAUCGUUGUUCGGUGCGGAAGGAGUGUGGUCUGCCGUUCUGUACAGGACCAUCCAACACUCUGUUGAUGUCGCCCUCUCCUCGCAUGGCCGCCUACCAAGGUGAGGUCCAUCUCCUGAACAUUCCUCCAUCGGGUCUGCGUGGCUACUCGAGGAUGCAUCACCGCAAUUGCCGUCGGUGUCAAGCUUGGAGGGAGCCAUUCCUCUUGGCCCUCAUCUGCCUCGCCCUCGCGGCCCGUGGCCCUGCGAUCCUCUGGUCCUGCUCACGGGCCCCACGUCUUCCCUUGAGACGAGAUGAACCGUGCCUGCCUAGAGUUUUUGCCACCAUUGGAGAGAGGCGGAGAACAGAACCAGACCGAGACGACAGUGUGCUGGCCUUUCGAUCUAUUUCUCAGUUUGAUCUCUACUCGAGCAAUGUUUGUUAACUGUGUGGGUGUGGCUGACGCUCUGCUGAUGAUGAUUUGGCAGGCCGAUAGGCUACUUGGGAAACUCCUCACCAUGGGCGGCAGGACCAUGGUACAGCCGUACAGGCCUUUGCCAAGCCAUCGUCAUUUAUAGGAGCACGGGACAGAGGAGCGGAGGCCUGGGACGCAGCACGGGGCAGAGGAGCGAUGGUGCGGCGGUUGCGCAUGUGGAAUAUUCGUGAGGACAAAGCGGUAUGAAGAACUAACUCUACCAGGGAACAUCAUGGAUAUGGAGAUGGAGCACCCAUGCUUUUCAUACAUAUAGAUACUGAUACUGUCAGGUUCCGGGGAAGGUAAUCAUUGUCAGUGUGCAAUCUAGAAGUUGAAACUGUGAUUGAAUACAUAGUAAGGGCUUCUGCAUCAUAGUUACUAUGACUUACCACAUGGAUUGGCUUUCCUGUCUCCUAGCUUCUGUCUGAACUUCUUGCACUCAUCUUGACAAGGAUUUGGAUGAACGGUAUGUCAAUGUCAACCUAGAUGAUGUUGACUUCUUCUGCAUUGAGCAUCGUCAUCAAGCUCCAAGAUCCAUAUAGCUCACAGGUUAGAAGAAAUAAGAUCGACCUUCUGCAAAAAAGAACAUGAAUUGUGCUAAGUUGCGAUGAUGUUGAUGGGAGAAAUUAUUCAUGACAAGUAUCUCGUAAUUACAAGUUUUUCUUAGACUGUUGUGUUACAUGUCUGUAAUGUGAUAUGUUGAGAUAUCGCAAUCGUGGGUUGCUAUAUUUUCACGUGGAAGGUUAUCUGACGAAGCUCUAUGCUUCAUGUAUGCAAGCUUUCCACCAGUAUUAGUUUUAUGUAUAUUCAAGUGUUGCACCAACUAUUAUGCUCUCUUGCAUUUAUCCAAUUGAUAAGAACUUUAUGUUGGGUAUUGUCAAUACAAUGCUCUG